rnacentral:rRNA from 1 species
AAUAGAUACCCUGGUAGUCCACGCCGUAAACGAUGAGUGCUAAGUGUUAGAGGGUUUCCGCCCUUUAGUGCUGCAGCUAACGCAUUAAGCACUCCGCCUGGGGAGUACGGCCGCAAGGCUGAAACUCAAAGGGAAUUGACGGGGGCCCGCACAAGCGGUGGAGCAUGUGGUUUAAUUCGAAGCAACGCGAAGAACCUUACCAGGUCUUGACAUCCUCUGCCAACCCUAGAGAUAGGGCGUUCCCCUUUGGGGAACAGAGUGACAGGUGGUGCAUGGUUGUCGUCAGCUCGUGUCGUGAGAUGUUGGGUUAAGUCCCGCAACGAGCGCAACCCUUGAUCUUAGUUGCCAGCAUUCAGUUGAGCACUCUAAGGUGACUGCCGGUGACAAACCGGAGGAAGGUGGGGAUGACGUCAAAUCAUCAUGCCCCUUAUGACCUGGGCUACACACGUGCUACAAUGGAUGGUACAAAGAGCUGCGAACCCGCGAGGGUAANCGAAAUCUCAUAAAGCCAUUCUCAGUUCGGAUUGGUACG